UAUUUGCAGAAGAACUCCAGG
rnacentral:siRNA from 1 species